AACGAACGCUGGCGGCAUGCCUAACACAUGCAAGUCGAACGAGAACUUCGGGUCUAGUGGCGCACGGGUGCGUAACGCGUGGGAACCUGCACUUAGGUUCGGAAUAACUCCCCGAAAGGGGUGCUAAUACCGGAUGAUGUAUUCGGACCAAAGAUUUCUCGCCUUUGGAUGGGCCCGCGUUGGAUUAGCUAGUUGGUAGGGUAAAAGCCUACCAAGGCGACGAUCCAUAGCUGGUCUGAGAGGAUGAUCAGCCACACUGGGACUGAGACACGGCCCAGACUCCUACGGGAGGCAGCAGUGGGGAAUAUUGGACAAUGGGCGAAAGCCUGAUCCAGCAAUGCCGCGUGAGUGAUGAAGGCCUUAGGGUUGUAAAGCUCUUUUACCCGGGAUGAUAAUGACAGUACCGGGAGAAUAAGCUCCGGCUAACUCCGUG
rnacentral:rRNA from 1 species